rnacentral:snoRNA from 1 species
GCAUCAAUGACUUCCAUAUAUCCAUUCCUUGGAAAGCUGAACAACAUGAGUGAAAACUCUAUUAAAAAAAAAACAAAGAAAAAGC